AGUGAACGCUGGCGGUAGGCCUAACACAUGCAAGUCGAACGGCAGCACAGUAAGAGCUUGCUCUUACGGGUGACGAGUGGCGGACGGGUGAGGAAUACAUCGGAAUCUACUUUUUCGUGGGGGAUAACGUAGGGAAACUUACGCUAAUACCGCAUACGACCUACGGGUGAAAGCAGGGGAUCUUCGGACCUUUCGCGAUUGAAUGAGCCGAUGUCGGAUUAGCUAGUUGGCGGGGUAAAGGCCCACCAAGGCGACGAUCCGUAGCUGGACUGAGAGGAUGAUCAGCCACCCUGGGAGUGAGACCCGGCCCAGGCGCAUUGGGGAGGCGGCCGUGGGGAAUCUUGGAGAAUGGGCGGAAGCCUGUUGCAGACAUACCGCGUGGGUGAAGAAGGACUUCGGGUUGUAAAGCCCUUUUGUUGGGAAAGAAAAGCAGCAGGUUAAUACCACACUGUUCUGACGGUACCCAAAGAAUAAGCACCGGCUAACUUCGUG
rnacentral:rRNA from 1 species